GAUGAACGCUGGCGGCGUGCCUAAUACAUGCAAGUCGAGCGAACAGACGAGGAGCUUGCUCCUCUGACGUUAGCGGCGGACGGGUGAGUAACACGUGGAUAACCUACCUAUAAGACUGGGAUAACUUCGGGAAACCGGAUCUAAUACCGGAUAAUAUAUUGAACCGCAGGGUUCAAUAGUGAAAGACGGUUUUGCUGACACUAAUAGAUGGAUCCGCGCCGCAUUAGCUAGUUGGUAAGGUAACGGCUUACCAAGGCGGCGAUGCGUAGCCGACCUGAGAGGGUGAUCGGCCACACUGGAACUGAGACACGGUCCAGACUCCUACGGGAGGCAGCAGUCGGGAAUCUUCCGCAAUGGGCGAAAGCCUGACGGAGCAACGCCGCGUGAGUGAUGAAGGUCUUCGGAUCGUAAAGCUCUGUUAUUAGGGAAGAACAAAUGUGUAAGUAACUGUGCUCGUCUUGACGGUACCUAAUCAGUAAGCCCCGGCUAACUACGUG
rnacentral:rRNA from 1 species